GACGAAGGUGGCGAGCGUUACUCGGAAUACUAGGCGUAAAGCGCGAGCAGGCGGUUCGACAAGUCCGUUGUGAAAGCCCCGGGCUCAACCCGGGGAGGUCAAUGGGAGUACUGUCGGACUUGAAUACGGGAGAGGUCACUGGAAUUCCGGUGUAGGCGUGAAAUGCGUAGAUAUCAGGAGGAACACCGAAGGCGAAGGCAGGUGACUGGACCGUUAUUGACGCUGAGUCGCGAAAGCCGGGGGAGCAAACAGG
rnacentral:rRNA from 1 species